AUCCUGGCUCAGGAUGAACGCUAGCUACAGGCUUAACACAUGCAAGUCGAGGGGCAGCAUGUUGGUUGCUUGCAACCAAUGAUGGCGACCGGCGCACGGGUGAGUAACGCGUAUCCAACCUACCCAAUACUCAGGCAUAACCCGUUGAAAGACGGACUAAUUCCUGAUGGUAUGUAUUUUUCUCAUGAUUUAUACAUUAAAGAAUUUCGGUAUUGGAUGGGGAUGCGUCUGAUUAGUUUGUUGGUGAGGUAACGGCUCACCAAGACUUCGAUCAGUAGGGGUUCUGAGAGGAAGGUCCCCCACAUUGGAACUGAGACACGGUCCAAACUCCUACGGGA
rnacentral:rRNA from 1 species